rnacentral:rRNA from 1 species
UACGUAGGGUGCAAGCGUUGUCCGGAAUUAUUGGGCGUAAAGAGCUCGUAGGCGGUUUGUUGCGUCGACUGUGAAAACCCGCAGCUUAACUGCGGGCCUGCAGUUGAUACGGGCAGGCUAGAGUUCGGUAGGGGAGACUGGAAUUCCUGGUGUAGCGGUGAAAUGCGCAGAUAUCAGGAGGAACACCGGUGGCGAAGGCGGGUCUCUGGGCCGAUACUGACGCUGAGGAGCGAAAGCGUGGGGAGCGAACAGG